rnacentral:rRNA from 1 species
GAGUGAAGCGGCGGGGUGACCCAGCCGUGGACGCCACACGAGUGAGAAUGCAGGCAUGAGUAGCGAAUGAGGAGUGAGAAACUCCUCCACCGAAUGACCAAGGGUUCCUGGGCCAGGUUCAUCCGCCCAGGGUGAGUCGGGACCUAAGGCGAGGCCGACAGGCGUAGUCGAUGGACAACGGGUUGAUAUUCCCGUACCCGCGUAGAAGCGCCCAUGACGAGCCCGGUGAUGCUGACCGCCCGAUCCUUCCGACGACUUCGGUCGAAGGGAGGGGAGCGCGGG